rnacentral:rRNA from 1 species
GGGGGGGGCAAUCUUCCACAAUGGACGAAAGUCUGAUGGAGCAACGCCGCGUGAACGAUGAAGGCCUUCGGGUCGUAAAGUUCUGUUGUAAGGGAAGAACAAGUGCCGCAGGCAAUGGCGGCACCUUGACGGUACCUUGCGAGAAAGCCACGGCUAACUACGUGCCAGCAGCCGCGGUAAUUAAA